GUAAAAGCUAUGAAGGGAAAAAGUAAGGUCGGAUACAUCUUUUCAGAGAGCAGCCGGAUGGUGAGAGGCUGCAGAUGUGCUGAUUUGAAUACAUCCUGGAGCUGCUGCCUGAAUUGAUAGUAGGGCUUGCCGGGUACGCCCGAAACAGCGUGUGAGUGUUUUUACACUCGCUGAGGGGGAUUCCGUGAGGAAUUCCCGUUUCAGAGGUGGUACCGCAAUCUUUUGCCCUCUGU
rnacentral:ncRNA from 1 species